rnacentral:lncRNA from 1 species
GCCCACUUGGCCAACCUUCCUCCCUCCCACCACCCCUGCAGGCUGCUUACUGACAGGACUUACACCACUCUGACCUCGGGCUCCUCAUUUGUGUAUAAGGAGACUGAGCCCAAAGCCCGGGUGGCAGGUUGCAGCACGUCGCCUGUUGGUAGUUGGUUACACACUGCCAGCUGCUACUAAUGACAUAAUCUGUCCACUACGGUGCCUAUGGGCAGGAGCUGUUCGGGUGCUGGUGCCUGGAAAAGGAGGUGACAGAGGCCCAGCUCCACCUCAUGCCAGCCUUUGAGCACCGGCUGAUUUCCCUGCGGGCCUCCUGCUCUCAGGCCACCUUCCCUGUAUGUCCAUCCUUCCCCCAGUCUCACUUCUGUGAUCCAUCACUCUGCAAGGACCUGGCACUCAGAAGGGCGCGGGGCAAGGAUGAAGAAGGACCUCGGAGACCAUCCUGCCUCUGUAGCCGGGGAGCUGAGCCCCCAGGGUCAGAAGGCUGGCUGAGGACACAGCAGCAGGGCCGCCCUGGGAGGCAGCAAGCCAGCCCAGGGACCUUAAGCCAGGCCUUUGUCCCAAUUGAAGGUGAGAUCUGGGCUCCGGAAGGCGCCUGGAGCUGCAGUUACAGGUCCUGCAGUUUUUCCCGGACGCGCCUUCCCGGCCCGCAGCCACCCCCUCUGUGUCCCGGACCAGGGGACAAGGACAACAAUGAGGACAGCUUCCCAGGCCCCCACCCGGUGGCUCCUGCCAUACUUCCGACCCGGCCUCCUGGCUUCCGCCUGCACCCGAGCUCUUUCCCAGCUGCUGAGCACCCUGGGUCAACCUCCUCAAAGCUCCGCCCUCCUCUCCCUUGGGGGACCCAGUUUAGCUCCACCACUGCCCAGGCACAGCCCGACAGGACACCCCAGCAGGUGGACACGCAGGCAGUUGGUGGCCUGUCCCCAGCCCUGUGCCACACGCCAGUAAUUCCAGCUGCUCAGGUGGCUGAGGCAGGAGGAUUGCAAGUUUGAGCCCAAACUGGGAAGUUUACAAGAUCCUGCAGUGUAGUGAUAGGGUGCUUACAUUGUAAGUAAAAGCACUGAGUUUAAACCCUCGUACCACAAAACGAGAAUACACUUUUGUCUUUCUUUCUUUGGCAUGCACACAGGUGUGUGCAUGUGUGUGCGUGUGUGUGUGUGUGUUGCUUUUUGGGUUCACUAUGGGGUCCAGGUCAGCCUUGAACCAGAUACCUGGCCCGGGCUGUCCUUCCACUCCCGAUUCUCCUGCUUCAGCCUCUUGAGUGUUGGGAUUACAGGUGUGUGCCAC